rnacentral:rRNA from 1 species
GACGUAGGGCGCGAGCGUUGUCCGGAUUUAUUGGGCGUAAAGAGCUCGUAGGCGGCUUGUUGCGUCGACUGUGAAAGCCCGUGGCUUAACCGCGUGGUCUGCAGUCGAUACGGGCAGGCUAGAGUUCGGUAGGGGAGACUGGAAUUCCUGGUGUAGCGGUGAAAUGCGCAGAUAUCAAGAGGAACACCUGCGGCGAAGGCGGGUUGCUGGGCUGACACUGACGCUGAAGCGCGAAAGCCAGGGGAGCGAACGGG